rnacentral:rRNA from 1 species
GUGAGGAAUAUUGCGCAAUGGACGAAAGUCUGACGCAGCCAUGCCGCGUGAAGGAUUGACGGCCCUAUGGGUUGUAAACUUCUUUUGUAUAGGAAUAAACCCUCGUUCGUGAACGAGGCUGAAGGUACUAUAAGAAUAAGCACCGGCUAACUCCGUGCCAGCAGCCGCGGUAAUACGGAGGGUGCAAGCGUUAUCCGGAUGUAUUGGGUUUAAAGGGUCCGUAGGCGGAUCGUUAAGUCAGUGGUUAAAUCCUACCGCUCAACGGUAGAACUGCCAUUGAUACUGGCGAUCUUGAGUAUGUUUGAAGUUGGCGGAAUGUGUGGUGUAGCGGUGAAAUGCUUAGAUAUCACACAGAACACCGAUUGCGAAGGCAGCUGACUAAUACACAACUGACGCUGAGGGACGAAAGUGUGGGGAUCAAACAGGAUUAGAUACCCCAGUAGUCC